rnacentral:lncRNA from 10 species
AAAAACUUUAAAAGACAUCUUGCAGAAGGUCAUCAUACCACUAAGAUAAGAAUAACACCAUCCUAAAGAGUAUAAGGCUUUAUAGUUUAGAAAGCAGUUUUAAGUCUACCCCUUCAUUUAAUACCUGCAAAAACCCAGUGAAGUAGCAUUUAUCCCCAUUUUACCGAUAAGGAAACUAGGACUCAGAAAGAUGAAACUAAAGGCUGCAGAAGUGGUGGAGCCAGGAUUUCAAGCCUUCUAAAGUACAAAUUCAGCACUCUUUGCAAUUCACAAGAGAAUUCCGUGUUCACUGAGUACUGAGCCUACAUUGUUUCAACAUGUCUGAAAUGGCAUUUCAGGAACCCAGAGUGGAAUGACCAGGUUAGCAACAUGGUUAGAGAAGUGCAGCCCUCUGGAUCACUUGUGGCUACCCUGAAAUAGUUUUCCGUGGUUGAGGAGGACUCAGG